rnacentral:lncRNA from 1 species
CCAUUUUCGGAACCUGUUAACGGCAGCUUCUUGCUCUGCUCUGGCCACCUUCUCAAUCUCAGAAAGAUAUUCCCGAUCAACCAACAUCCCCUCAGUUUCCAUUUUAACUAGAAUCUCACCGAAUGGUUGCCAGUAUUCCGGAUAAAAGUCAAACAUGGAUUUUCCUGGAACUGGUUUCCCAUCAAGUUUCCAUGACAUUUCUAAAAGUAUUUUUUUUCAAGCUCUUACAAAGCUUCAGUGUGUUUAUUGAAUCAAAGGCAGAAUAAGAGAUCCACAAUUCUCGCUCCUCUCUUUGAAGCUCUUCAACAGGAGCAAUGGUGCUUAUUUUGCCAGCAGAUCCAUCC